GGCCGCUUAGCUCAGCGGUAGAGCGCUGCAUUCACAUUGCAGAUGCCACUGGUUCAAAUCCAGUAGCGGCCACCA
rnacentral:tRNA from 1 species